rnacentral:rRNA from 1 species
AAGCGUACACGGUGGAUGCCCUGGCAGUCAGAGGCGAUGAAGGGCGUGCUAAUCUGCGAUAAGCGCCGGUAAGGUGAUAUGAACCGUUAUAACCGGCGAUACCCGAAUGGGGAAACCCAGUGUGACUCGUCACACUAUCAUUAACUGAAUCCAUAGGUUAAUGAGGCGAACCGGGGGAACUGAAACAUCUAAGUACCCCGAGGAAAAGAAAUCAACCGAGAUUCCCCCA